AUUGAACGCUGGCGGCAUGCUUUACACAUGCAAGUCGAACGGUAACAGGUUAAGCUGACGAGUGGCGAACGGGUGAGUAAUGCAUCGGAACGUGCCCGGUCGUGGGGGAUAACGCGGAGAAAGCUGCGCUAAUACCGCAUACGAUCUAAGGAUGAAAGCGGGGGACCGUAAGGCCUCGCGCGAUCGGAGCGGCCGAUGUCAGAUUAGGUAGUUGGUGGGGUAAAGGCUCACCAAGCCAACGAUCUGUAGCUGGUCUGAGAGGACGACCAGCCACACUGGGACUGAGACACGGCCCAGACUCCUACGGGAGGCAGCAGUGGGGAAUUUUGGACAAUGGGCGAAAGCCUGAUCCAGCAAUGCCGCGUGCAGGAAGAAGGCCUUCGGGUUGUAAACUGCUUUUGUACGGAGCGAAAAGGUCUCCUCUAAUACAGGGGGCUCAUGACGGUACCGUAAGAAUAAGCACCGGCUAACUACGUGCCAGCCGCCGCGGUAA
rnacentral:rRNA from 1 species